rnacentral:tRNA from 1 species
AGGUGACACUAAAUGGAAAGGAUGAUCUUGAAAAUUACUUCUUAUUGUGUUAGUCAUUUA